rnacentral:rRNA from 1 species
CCUACGGGUGGCAGCAGUGGGGAAUAUUGGACAAUGGGGGGAACCCUGAUCCAGCCAUGCCGCGUGUGUGAAGAAGGCCCUCGGGUUGUAAAGCACUUUCAGUGAGGAAGAACGCCUGGUGGUUAAUACCCAUCAGGAAAGACAUCACUCACAGAAGAAGCACCGGCUAACUCCGUGCCAGCAGCCGCGGUAAUACGGAGGGUGCGAGCGUUAAUCGGAAUUACUGGGCGUAAAGCGCGCGUAGGUGGCUUGAUAAGCCGGUUGUGAAAGCCCCGGGCUCAACCUGGGAACGGCAUCCGGAACUGUCAAGCUAGAGUGCAGGAGAGGAAGGUAGAAUUCCCGGUGUAGCGGUGAAAUGCGUAGAGAUCGGGGGAAUACCAGUGGCGAAGGCGGCCUUCUGGACUGACACUGACACUGAGGUGCGAAAGCGUGGGUAGCAAACAGGAUUAGAUACCCUGGUAGUC